CCGGGCGACCGGCGCACGGGUGAGUAACACGUAUGCGACCUGCCCGUAGCAGGGGGAUAAGCGGAAGAAAUUCCGUCUAAUACCGCGUAAUAUCUUUCGGGGGCAUUCCUGAGGGAUUAAAGGAAGCGAUUCCGGCUACGGAUGGGCAUGCGGCGCAUUAGCUAGUCGGCGGGGUAACGGCCCACCGAGGCGACGAUGCGUAGGGGUUCUGAGAGGAAGGUCCCCCACACUGGUACUGAGACACGGACCAGACUCCUACGGGAGGCAGCAG
rnacentral:rRNA from 1 species